rnacentral:rRNA from 1 species
GGUAAGGCCCUUCGGGGUACACGAGUGGCGAACGGGUGAGUAACACGUGGGUAAUCUGCCCUGCACAUCGGGAUAAGCCUGGGAAACUGGGUCUAAUACCGAAUAGGACCACAGAACACAUGUCCUGUGGUGGAAAGCUUUUGCGGUGUGGGAUGGGCCCGCGGCCUAUCAGCUUGUUGGUGGGGUGAUGGCCCACCAAGGCGACGACGGGUAGCCGGCCUGAGAGGGUGUCCGGCCACACUGGGACUGAGAUACGGCCCAGACUCCUACGGGAGGCAGCAGUGGGGAAUAUUGCACAAUGGGCGAAAGCCUGAUGCAGCGACGCCGCGUGGGGGAUGACGGCCUUCGGGUUGUAAACCUCUUUCACCAUCGACGAAGGUUCGGGUUUUCUCGGAUUGACGGUAGGUGGAGAAGAAGCACCGGCCAACUACGUGCCAGCAGCCGCGGUAAUACGUAGGGUGCGAGCGUUGUCCGGAAUUACUGGGCGUAAAGAGCUCGUAGGUGGUUUGUCGCGUUGUUCGUGAAAUCUCACGGCUUAACUGUGAGCGUGCGGGCGAUACGGGCAGACUUGAGUACUGCAGGGGAGACUGGAAUUCCUGGUGUAGCGGUGGAAUGCGCAGAUAUCAGGAGGAACACCGGUGGCGAAGGCGGGUCUCUGGGCAGUAACUGACGCUGAGGAGCGAAAGCGUGGGGAGCGAACAGGAUUAGAUACCCUGGUAGUCCACGCCGUAAACGGUGGGUACUAGGUGUGGGUUUCCUUCCUUGGGAUCCGUGCCGUAGCUAACGCAUUAAGUACCCCGCCUGGGGAGUACGGCCGCAAGGCUAAAACUCAAAGAAAUUGACGGGGGCCCGCACAAGCGGCGGAGCAUGUGGAUUAAUUCGAUGCAACGCGAAGAACCUUACCUGGGUUUGACAUGCACAGGACGCCGGCAGAGAUGUCGGUUCCCUUGUGGCCUGUGUGCAGGUGGUGCAUGGCUGUCGUCAGCUCGUGUCGUGAGAUGUUGGGUUAAGUCCCGCAACGAGCGCAACCCUUGUCUCAUGUUGCCAGCGGGUAAUGCCGGGGACUCGUGAGAGACUGCCGGGGUCAACUCGGAGGAAGGUGGGGAUGACGUCAAGUCAUCAUGCCCCUUAUGUCCAGGGCUUCACACAUGCUACAAUGGCCGGUACAAAGGGCUGCGAUGCCGCGAGGUUAAGCGAAUCCUUUUAAAGCCGGUCUCAGUUCGGAUCGGGGUCUGCAACUCGACCCCGUGAAGUCGGAGUCGCUAGUAAUCGCAGAUCAGCAACGCUGCGGUGAAUACGUUCCCGGGCCUUGUACACACCGCCCGUCACGUCAUGAAAGUCGGUAACACCCGAAGCCAGUGGCCUAACCCU